UACGUAGGGUGCAAGCGUUGUCCGGAAUUAUUGGGCGUAAAGAGCUCGUAGGCGGUUUGUCGCGUCUGCUGUGAAAACUCGGGGCUUAACCCCGGGCCUGCAGUGGGUACGGGCAGACUAGAGUGCGGUAGGUGAGACUGGAAUUCCUGGUGUAGCGGUGAAAUGCGCAGAUAUCAGGAGGAACACCGAUGGCGAAGGCAGAUCUCUGGGCCGUAACUGACGCUGAGGAGCGAAAGCGUGGGGAGCGAACAGG
rnacentral:rRNA from 1 species